ACAGACACAUUCAGGGGACACUUUAGACUUAUAUUACAUCUUUUAAAAACAUAAUCUAGGGCACCUUUAAAAGUAAAUGCAAAAUGAUAUUCCUAAAAGACAGUGUGUGAAAAACUAAACAUCAUUAAAACUCUGAAUACAAUAUUAAAAAUGAAAUUUGAUGUUCCAUGAAGGAAUCUUUAACAUCCAUGAAUCUUUCCAUUCCACUAAAGGUUCUCUAGAUUAUUAAAGGUGCCCUAGCCUAGAACACUAUUUUACAAGUCUCUGGUGUCCCCAGAAUGUCUCUGUAAAAAAGUAAGCUUAAAAUACCCCAUAGAUUUUUUUAUUAUACCAUGUUUUAACUGCCUGUUUUGGGGUGGGAGGAAAAAUGCACUGAUUCUGUGCGUGUCCUCUUUUAAGGGGUCAUUACACUGCUGUCAUCCGCUCCUUUACAGAUGACAAGUGGUACCGUUUUGAUGACAGUCGUGUCACAGUGACUGAUGAGAGUGAACUGAAAAGGUCUAGUGAAGCUUACUUUCUCUUGUACCAGAAAAGUGAGUAGAUUCACAAUUUACAAAAUUCUCUUGUGUUGGUGGCCUGAGAAUGCAAACUUUGAAAUAGGUUUUGAAAACCAGUUUGAAAACAUUUUGAAACAUUUUGAUUUUGAAAACAAUAUUAUUAUCAUCUCCUUAAAAUA